rnacentral:rRNA from 1 species
UACGUAGGGUCCGAGCGUUGUCCGGAAUUACUGGGCGUAAAGAGCUCGUAGGUGGUUUGUCGCGUUGUUCGUGAAAACUCACAGCUCAACUGUGGGCGUGCGGGCGAUACGGGCAGACUAGGGUUCGGCAGGGGAGACUGGAAUUCCUGGUGUAGCGGUGAAAUGCGCAGAUAUCAGGAGGAACACCAAUGGCGAAGGCAGCUCGCUGGGACGGUACUGACGCGUGAGGCGACGAAAGGCGUGGGGGAGCAAACAGG